rnacentral:rRNA from 1 species
GAUGAACGCUGGCGGCGUGCCUAAUACAUGCAAGUCGAGCGAACGGACGAGAAGCUUGCUUCUCUGAUGAUAGCGGCGGACGGGUGGGUAACACGUGGAUAACCUACCUAUAAGACUGGGAUAACUUCGGGAAACCGGAGCUAAUACCGGAUAAUAUUUUGAACCGCAUGGUUCAAAAGUGAAAGACGGUCUUGCUGUCACUUAUAGAUGGAUCCGCGCUGCAUUAGCUAGUUGGUAAGGUAACGGCUUACCAAGGCAACGAUGCAUAGCCGACCUGAGAGGGUGAUCGGCCACACUGGAACUGAGACACGGUCCAGACUCCUACGGGAGGCAGCAGUAGGGAAUCUUCCGCAAUGGGCGAAAGCCUGACGGAGCAACGCCGCGUGAGUGAUGAAGGUCUUCAGAUCGUAAAACUCUGUUAUUAGGGAAGAACAUAUGUGUAAGUAACUGUGCACAUCUUGACGGUACCUAAUCAGAAAGCCACGGCUAACUACGUG